rnacentral:rRNA from 1 species
GCUUGUCUCAAAGAUUAAGCCAUGCAUGUCUAAGUAUAAACAACUUUAUACUGUGAAACUGCGUACAGCUCAUUAUAUCAGUUAUAAUUUAUUUGAUGGUGAUUUACUACAUGGAUAACCGUGGUAAUUCUAGAGCUAAUACAUGCGUAAAAUCCCGACUCUCGCGGGGAGGGAUGUAUUUAUUAGUUAAAAAGCCAAUGCGGGUUCUGCCCGGUUUUGUGGUGAAUCAUAGUAACUGUUCGAAUCGCAUGGCUUCACGCCGGCGAUAGUUCAUUCAAAUUUCUGCCCUAUCAGCUUUCGACGGUAGUGUAGUGGACUACCGUGGCGUUAACGGGUAACGGAGAAUUAGGGUUCGGUUCCGGAGAGGGAGCCUGAGAAACGGCUACCACAUCCAAGGAAGGCAGCAGG